ensembl:lncRNA
AAACUGUUAUAAAAUCAAACACAGCUGCAUUAGAUUAUUUUAAUAACAGCACAGUAAGUAGCCUACACAAACUUGAAAAUAGGUCAUUUGAUGAAGGUGACUUGAUAAGGAAAGGUCAACUGCUUAGUAUUUUAAUAUUUUCUUUAUAAUUAUAUUUACACAGUAAGAAAGUACGUACAUUUUAUACAAUCCCCUUUACUCUUUUUUUUGUCUUGUACCUUUUAAAAAUAUAUCCAUAUAUCGUGUGCCCUGCCACGAUAUUUCACACCUGUUCGAUCACAAUCUAAUAUUUCGUUUUGACUCUUCCAGUAGAGGGCUGUUCGAGAGCAUGCGCACAACCGCAGCAAGAGAACAUUAUUCCUCCUGUCACCAGUGCCUGUCACAACAUUGAGGGGCAAAACGACAGCAGUGUGGUCUCUGGCUUCUAAUAGAUCUGUGAAGACAUAGAAUGUGAUUGGAAUGGAAGCUCGGAGAAGGAGUCCCUGAUUGGCUGAAAGACUGGGCGGGUGCACAUACCAAACGAAUCGAUCCUGUCUCAAAUGAUGCAGGCAGAGGAUAGGAAGAAAAGGAGUUUCAGCAAGGGCGUGGCGGAGGAAUAUUGUCUAAGAGAGCGACCAAACGAGGACACUGUAAAAAUGAAGAACAAAGUGACAAGCACACAAGCAGUGAGGGGUAAGAAGAAGGCAUGGUCGUGGGAUCAAUACCUGGGAGAGAAGAAGGUCAUAGCAGCUCCCCUAAGACUCUUCACUGAGGUAAGCAUCACCUUCAUCAACCAGUAGGUAUAUAGUGCAUUCGGAAAGUAUUUUUGUUACGUUACAGCCUUAUUCUAAAAUUGAUUCAAUUGUUGUUUUUUCCCCAUCAAUCUACACACAAUACCUCAUAAUGACAAAGCAAAAAUCUAGUCAAAAUAAAUAAAUAUCACAUUUUACAUUAGAAUUCAGAUCCUUUGCUCAGUACUUUGUUGAAGCACCUUUGGCAACUUGAGGCUGUUAUCAUUUUCUUGGGUAUCAAGCUAUAAGCUUGGCACACUUGUAUUUGGGGAGUUUCUCCCAUUCUUCUCUGCAGAUCCUCUCAAGCUCUGUCAGGUUGGAUGGGGAGUGUCGCUGCACUGCUAUUUUCAGGUCUUUCCAGAUAUGUUUGAUCGGUUUCCAGUCCGGGCUCUGGCUUGGUCACUCAAAGACAUUCAGAGACUUGCCCCGAACCACUCCCACAUUGUCUUGGCUGUGUGCUUCAGGUCGUUGUCCUGUUGGAAUGUCUGGAGUGCUCUGAAGCAGGUUUUCAUCAAUGAUCUCUCUGUACUUUCCUCUGUUCUUCUUUCCCUCGAUCCUGACUAGUCUCCCAGUCCCUGCCGCUGAAAAACAUCCCCACAGCAUGAUGCUGCCACCACCAUGCCUCACGGUAGGGAUGGUGUCAGGUUUCCUCCAGACGUGACACUUGGAAUUCAGGCUAAAGAGUUCAAUCUUGGUUUCAUCAGACCAGAGAAUCUUGUUUCUCAUGAUCCGAGAGACGUUUAGGUGCCUUUUGGCAAACCCCAAGCGGGCUGUCAUGUGCCUUUUAUUGAGGAGUUUAUUUUUGUAAUUUUAUUUCACCUUUAUUUAACCAGGUAGGCUAGUUGAGAACAGGUUCUCAUUUACAACUGCAACCUGGCCAAGAUAAAGCAUAGCAGUGUGAACAGACAACAACACAGAGUUACACAUGGAGUAAACAAUAAACAAGUCAAUAACAGAGUAGGAAAAAAAGAGUCUAUAUACAUUGUGUGCAAAAGGCAUGAGGAGGUAGGCAUUAAAUAGGCCAUAGGAGCGAAUAAUUAGAAUUUAGCAGAUUAACACUGGAGUGAUAAAUGAUCAGAUGGUCAUGUGCAAGUAGAGAUACUGGUGUGCAAAAGAGCAGAAAGUAAAUAAAUAAAAACAGUAUGGGGAUGAGGUAGGUAAAUUGAGUGGGCUAUUUACAGAUGGACUAUGUACAGCUGCAGCGAUCGGUUAGCUGCUCAAAUAGCAGAUGUUUGAAGUUGGUGAGGGAGAUAAGUCUCCAACUUCAGCAAUUUUUGCAAUUCUUUCCAGUCACAGGCAGCAGAGAACUGGAACGAAAGGCGGCCAAAUGAGGUGUUGGCUUUAGGGAUGAUCAGUGAGAUACACCUGCUGGAGCGCGUGCUACGGGUGGGUGUUGCCAUCGUGACCAGUGAACUGAGAUAAGGCGGAGCUUUACCUAGCAUGGACUUGUAGAUUACCUGGAGCCAGUGGGUCUGGCGACGAAUAUGUAGCGAUAUGAGUCUGGAAGGAGAGUUUACAGUCUAGCCAGACACCUAGGUACAUAUAGAUGUCCACAUAUUCUAGGUCGGAACCAUCCAGGGUGGUGAUGCUAGUCGGGCAUGCGGGUGCAGGCAGCGAACGGUUGAAAAGCAUGCAUUUGGUUUUACUAGCGUUUAAGAGCAGUUGGAGGCCACGGAAGGAGUGUUGUAUGACAUUGAAGCUCGUUUGGAGGUUAGAUGGCACAGUGUCCAAGGAAGGGCCAGAGGUAUACAGAAUGGUGUCGUCUGCGUAGAGGUGGAUCAGGGAAUCGGCCGCAGCAAGAGCAACAUCAUUGAUAUAUACAGAGAAAAGAGUCGGCCCGAGAAUUGAACCCUGUGGUACCCCCAUAGAGACUGCCAGAGGACCGGACAACAUGCCUUCCGAUUUGACACACUGAACUCUGUCUACAAAGUAGUUGGUGAACCAGGCAAGGCAGUUAUUAGAAAAACAGAGGCUACUGAGUCUGCCGAUAAGAAUAUGGUGAUUGACAGAGUCGAAUGCCUUGGCCAGGUCGACGAAGACGGCUGCACAGUACUGUCUUUUAUUGAUGGUGGUUAUGAUAUCGUUUAGUACCUUGAGCGUGGCUGAGGUGCACCCGUGACCGUCUUGGAAACCGGAUUGCACAGCGAAGAAGGUACUGUCGGAUUCGAGAUGGUCAGUGAUCUGUUUGUUAACUUGGCUUUCGAAGACCUUAGAUAGGCAGGGCAGGAUGGAUAUAGGUCUAACAGUUUGGGUCUAGGGUGU